rnacentral:rRNA from 1 species
CAUGUAGGCGGUUUUUUAAGUUCCGGAGUGAAAAUGCGGGGCUCAACCCCGUAUGGCUCUGGAUACUGGAAGACUUGAGUGCAGGAGAGGAAAGGGGAAUUCCCAGUGUAGCGGUGAAAUGCGUAGAUAUUGGGAGGAACACCAGUGGCGAAGGCGCCUUUCUGGACUGUGUCUGACGCUGAGAUGCGAAAGCCAGGGUAGCGAACG